rnacentral:rRNA from 1 species
CAAUUAGCUUCGUAGUGACCUGCGGAAGGUCAUUCACAAUGAGUGUUUUAUGGCACUCUUUAAAAAUCCAUAUCCACCUUGUGUGCAAUGUUUGUUGGGAGAGAGGCAACUCUUUCCCUUCACAAAUAUCAACCUAUAUCUUUAACAACAUUCGUCUGAUAACAUAUUAUGAAUAUACUUAAUUCAAAAUAUAACUUUCAACAACGGAUCUCUUGGCUCUCGCAUCGAUGAAGAACGCAGCGAAAUGCGAUACGUAAUGUGAAUUGCAGAAUUCAGUGAAUCAUCGAAUCUUUGAACGCAUAUUGCGCUCUUUGGUAUUCCGAAGAGCAUGCUUGUUUGAGUAUCAGUAAACACCUCAACCUCCUCUUGUUUUUUCAAAAGGAGGGUGGACUUGAGCUAUCCCAACAACCUUCACCGGUAGGCGGGCGGCUUGAAAUGCAGGUGCAGCUGGACUUUUAUCUGAGCUAAAAGCAUAUCUAUUUAGUCCUCGUCAAACAGGAUUAUUACUAUUGCUGCAGCUAACAUAAAGGAUAAUUGUCCUCAUUGCUGACUGAUGCAGGAUUUUACGACACUUUAUGUGUUGUUCAACUCGAUCUCAAAUCAAGUAAGACUACCCGCUGAACUUAAGCAUUAACAG